rnacentral:rRNA from 1 species
GAUGAACGCUAGCUACAGGCUUAACNCAUGCAAGUCGAGGGCAGCAUGGUCUUAGCUUGCUAAGGCCGAUGGCGACCGGCGCACGGGUGAGUAACACGUAUCCAACCUGCCGUCUACUCUUGGACAGCCUUCUGAAAGGAAGAUUAAUACAAGAUGGCAUCAUGAGUCCGCAUGUUCACAUGAUUAAAGGUAUUCCGGUAGACGAUGGGGAUGCGUUCCAUUAGAUAGUAGGCGGGGUAACGGCCCACCUAGUCUUCGAUGGAUAGGGGUUCUGAGAGGAAGGUCCCCCACAUUGGAACUGAGACACGGCCCAGACUCCUACGGGAGGCAGCAGUGGGGAAUAUUGGGCAAUGGGCGCAAGCCUGACCCAGCAACGCCGCGUGAAGGAAGAAGGCUUUCGGGUUGUAAACUUCUUUUGUCAGGGACGAGUAGAAGACGGUACCUGACGAAUAAGCCACGGCUAACUACGUG